ACCUCAAACCUGAGCUCAUAUCUUGUGCUUUCAAGAGGCACCGACUCACUUUGAGAAUUAAAAGUGGUCUCCUGUGUAACUAAAGCACAGCUUCCUUUCCUGCCUUCCACUCUUCUGGGAACAAAAGAACCUCAAACCUGAGCUCAUAUCUUGUGCUUUCAAGAGGCACCGACUCACUUUGAGAAUUAAA